CAGUAGCCGCGGGAACACGAAGGGGGCUAGCGUUGUUCGGAAUUACUGGGCGUAAAGGGCGCGUAGGCGGCCAUUCAAGUUAGAUGUGAAAGCCCCGGGCUCAACCUGGGAAUGGCAAUGGAUACUGGCGAGCUAGAGUGUGUCAGAGGAUGGUGGAAUUCCCGGUGUAGCGGUGAAAUGCGUAGAGAUCGGGAGGAACAUCAGUGGCGAAGGCGGCCAUCUGGGACAACACUGACGCUGAGGCACGAAAGCGUGGGGAGCAAACAGGAUUAGAUACCCGCGUAGUCCCUGUCUCUUAUAC
rnacentral:rRNA from 1 species